rnacentral:snRNA from 1 species
AUCUUUGCGGGAGGGGCAGUAUCGCUGUAAAUGACGACUAACGGAUAAGCGAUUAUUGCUAGUUGAAAACUACUCCAAUU